GAUGAACGCUGGCGGCGUGCCUAAUACAUGCAAGUCGAGCGAACGGACGAGAAGCUUGCUUCUCUGAUGUUAGCGGCGGACGGGUGAGUAACACGUGGAUAACCUACCUAUAAGACUGGGAUAACUUCGGGAAACCGGAGCUAAUUCCGGAUAAUAUUUUGAACCGCAUGGUUCAACAGUGAAAGACGGUCUUGCUGUCACUUAUAGAUGGAUCCGCGCUGCAUUAGCUAGUUGGUAAGGUAACGGCUUACCAAGGCAACGAUGCAUAGCCGACCUGAGAGGGUGAUCGGCCACACUGGAACUGAGACACGGUCCAGACUCCUACGGGAGGCAGCAGUAGGGAAUCUUCCGCAAUGGGCGAAAGCCUGACGGAGCAACGCCGCGUGAGUGAUGAAGGUCUUCGGAUCGUAAAACUCUGUUAUUAGGGAAGAACAUAUGUGUAAGUAACUGUGCACAUCUUGACGGUACCUAAUCAGAAAGCCACGGCUAACUACGUG
rnacentral:rRNA from 1 species